CUCCACAGGUCGGUAGGAUUUUGCUUCUUCGAAACAAUUGCUUAUUCUAAAUUAAAUAAAUUGUAGGAGUCCCCCAGUGUAGGAAACUACUACUUUUGCUAAAUGAAAAACGGAAAGGGAAAAGGAAAACAUAAACUCUAAACGUAACGGUAACUGAAUUGCGGUAGAGGAAAGAAUGUUGCUGAAGGAAAAUAACACUAGAAAGCUGAAUUGAUGUAGAAAAUAAAUUGCAGAGAAAAAUUUAGCGUCCCCUCGUUUCCAACAUCUGUACUUUUUAUAUUUUCUGGUAGGUCAUGGCAGUUGAGAGAAACAAGGAUGACUCGGUUGAGUGAGGAAUCCACGGGAAAGUGGUUAUGGAACGGGAAUUUAGGCACGUUGGCUCCCUUCUGUAGACUGUUUCAAGGCCUUGAUUUUGGUCGUGUGACGUUCGUCAUGGGCCUGUGACAGUCGUCACAGGCUGGGCGUGCCGGUCGUUACACGCUUUGUGACGGUUGUCACAUCCACAAUUUUUGUAUCCCCUGUUUUAUGUUUUUCUGCUGCUUUCUCUUUUGUUUCUUUUUCUUUUUCUUCCUUUUCUACAUUUUGCUCAUUUAUACACGGGGAUUGAAAUACCUGCAAAAAUAACUCGAAUACUUGCGGAAUAACCGGAAUAUAAAUGAAAGUGGUAGGUCUUUGAGUGUAAAUCAAGACAAAUAUACGAUGUAUUUUCGCGUUAUCAAUGAUACAAGUUCGGGUGAAAGCACAAGUUUCCAUCAUAAUUUGUCUAAGAUGACCCAAAUACAGUUUGUACUCAAUCAUUAAUAAAUUGAAAUUGAAUAAUAAGGUACUUAUAAAAUAUAGUAAUUUUUAUAGAUGAAUUUAAAAUAAACUAGUUCAAAAUAAA
rnacentral:lncRNA from 1 species